rnacentral:rRNA from 1 species
GUGUUACUGCGAAGGGGGGACGGAGAAGGCUAGGUUAUCCGGGCGACGGUUGUCCCGGUUUAAGCGAGUAGGCUGAUAGUCUUGGUAAAUCCGGACUGUCUUAAGGCUGAGACGUGAUGACGAGGUUCUACGGAACUGAAGUAAUUGAUGCCCUGCUUCCAGGAAAAGCCUCUAAGCUCUAGGUAACAUUGAAUCGUACCCCAAACCGACACAGGUGAUCAGGUAGAGAAUACCAAGGCGCUUGAGAGAACUCGGGUGAAGGAACUAGGCAAAAUGGUGCCGUAACUUCGGGAGAAGGCACGCUGGCGCGUAGGUGGAGGGACUUGCUCCCCGAGCUGAAGCCAGUCGAAGAUACCAGCUGGCUGCAACUGUUUAUUAAAAACACAGCACUGUGCAAACACGAAAGUGG